rnacentral:rRNA from 1 species
AGAGUUUGAUCAUGGCUCAGGACGAACGCUGGCGGCGUGCUUAACACAUGCAAGUCGAACGGAAAGGCCCCUUCGGGGGUACUCGAGUGGCGAACGGGUGAGUAACACGUGGGUGAUCUGCCCUGCACUUUGGGAUAAGCCUGGGAAACUGGGUCUAAUACCGAAUAGGACCGCAUGCUUCAUGGUGUGUGGUGGAAAGCUUUUGCGGUGUGGGAUGGGCCCGCGGCCUAUCAGCUUGUUGGUGGGGUAAUGGCCUACCAAGGCGACGACGGGUAGCCGGCCUGAGAGGGUGUCCGGCCACACUGGGACUGAGAUACGGCCCAGACUCCUACGGGAGGCAGCAGUGGGGAAUAUUGCACAAUGGGCGCAAGCCUGAUGCAGCGACGCCGCGUGGGGGAUGACGGCCUUCGGGUUGUAAACCUCUUUCAGUAUCGGCGAAGCCCCAGGAUUUUUCUUGGGGUGACGGUAGGUACAGAAGAAGCACCGGCCAACUACGUGCCAGCAGCCGCGGUAAUACGUAGGGUGCGAGCGUUGUCCGGAAUUACUGGGCGUAAAGAGCUCGUAGGUGGUUUGUCACGUUGUCUGUGAAAACUCACAGCUUAACUGUGGGCGUGCGGGCGAUACGGGCAGACUGGAGUACUGUAGGGGAGACUGGAAUUCCUGGUGUAGCGGUGGAAUGCGCAGAUAUCAGGAGGAACACCGGUGGCGAAGGCGGGUCUCCGGGCAGUAACUGACGCUGAGGAGCGAAAGCGUGGGGAGCGAACAGGAUUAGAUACCCUGGUAGUCCAA